AAUCUAAAUACAUAUGAAAACGAAGAAGUGGCAUUUAUCGGACAGAGAAGCGGCGAGCCAUUAAAAUGGCGGCAAUUUGACGAAAUAUCGAAGGACACAAUAUCGAAGGUAAAAUACACUGCACUGUUUCACAACUUCAUGAAACUUGGUUGAAAUCUUCUUUAGCCCUUUAUGAUUAUGUAAAAGUACAACAACUGCAGGAUGAUAUUUGCGAGACUCGGCGAUAAAAAGCAAACAAGACGGCAAAGUAUGGCUGAAAUCGUGUUUUCGUGGGGGGUAAGUGAAAUAAAAUGUGUUAUAUUAAAAGAAAACAAUGACAAUCCUCAUGAAAUCCACAAUAAUUA